CAGGCAUCCUCUGUGGUCACCAAAGCUCCCUCUGCAGAGUCACUAGAACAAACCUCCACACAGGUGAGCUCAUGAAUAUGCAGUCAGGUUGAACAGAUAAUAGAGGAACACCUGAAGAUCAACUAAGUGAUCGAGGCUGAUGAAAUUGUAUUUCAGAACCCCGGCGUGCUGAGAGGGCUCAUUCAGAUGGUCAACCCAUUCAAGUCGACGUCACAGGUCCACAAAGCUGCUUCCUCAGACUCUCUGGACCAGGGGAGGGUUUCAGAGCCUGUUCAGAACCCCGGCAUGCUGAUUGGAGUCAUACAGAAAGUCAACCCCUUCAAGUCUACAUCACAGGUGCCAAAGAGUGAGUCUCAACCUGAAGAGAACACCGACAAAGAACUUCAAGACAAACAGACUCCAGGGAUGAUGGCAGGAAUGAUCCAGAAAGUCAACCUGUUUAAAUCCUCACAGCCAAAGGACAGUCGUCUUUUGGACAGCAACCCGUGGUCCAGCAGGGGGAGCUUAGCAGACAACAACAACCUGCCGGAGAAGCAGCCCCCAGGCAUGUUCAAAGGGAUGCUACAGAAAGUUAACCCCUUCAAGUCCAGCACACAGAU
rnacentral:lncRNA from 1 species